CUAAUGCAGUGUUUCUUUUCUCAGGUUAUCCAGAUCGAACCCCAAACCCUGUUAUUCCCAAAAGACAGGCAGCACCGCCGCCACGACCAGCCAAGAUCACCCCGAUAGGGAAAAGCAUGAAGCCAGAGCCGCCUCACGACCCAGAGGAGUUUUACAUCGACCCCAGUGACAGCAAACCACCUGAGGUAAUACGUAAAGAUAAACCUGGUAAAAAAGCCCCUCCUAAGAGACCCCCGAUGAGACCUCCACCGGCCCCUCAGCAAGACGAAGGUCAUUUCAAGACUAUGUUCAUCAAACUAUCACAG
rnacentral:lncRNA from 1 species